CACGUAGGCGGAUUAGAAAGUUGGGGGUGAAAUCCCAGGGCUCAACCCUGGAACUGCCUCCAAAACUCCUAGUCUAGAGUUCGAGAGAGGUGAGUGGAAUUCCGAGUGUAGAGGUGAAAUUCGUAGAUAUUCGGAGGAACACCAGUGGCGAAGGCGGCUCACUGGCUCGAUACUGACGCUGAGGUGCGAAAGUGUGGGGAGCAAACA
rnacentral:rRNA from 1 species